CAACUACUCCCUCUGUCCCAAAUUUCUUGUCUUAGAUUUGUCUAGAUACGGAUGUAUCUAAUACUAAAAUGUGACUUGAUACAUCCGUAUCUAGACAAAUCUANUUUGGGACGGAGGGAGUACUUU
rnacentral:pre_miRNA from 1 species